rnacentral:rRNA from 1 species
GUGCACCAGGCGAGAAUAUUCGACAAUGCACGAAAGUGUGAUCGAGCGACGCCGCGUGCCGAAUGAAGGCCUUCGGUUGUAAACGGCUUUCUCAGGGACGAAUCUUGACGGUACCUGAGGAAUAAGGGGUUGCUAACUCUGUGCCAGCAGCAGCGGUAAUACAGAGACCCCGAGCAUUAUCCGGAUUUAUUGGGCGUAAAGCGUUCGUAGGCGGCUUUGUAAGUCAUUUGUUAAAUCCUCAGGCUCAACCUGGGGGCUGCAGGUGAUACUGUAAGGCUCGAGUGUGGGAGAGGCAUAUGGAAUGCCCGGUGUAGCGGUAAAAUGCGUUAAUAUCGGGUAGAACACCAAAGGCGAAAGCAAUAUGCUGGAACACAACUGACGCUCAUGAACGAGAGCGUGGGUAGCGAAAGGGAUUAGAUACCCGUGUAGU